rnacentral:sRNA from 1 species
UAAAGAAUCAGCAUCACUUAGACCAGUUGAAAACGCAUAACUAGAAUACUGUUGAUCAAGAAUACUAGAUGUUUCAGAUACAAACGCCUCAAUAAUCCUAGAGGUUAACCUCGACUGCCAAAAUAAAAAGCUUACCUCAAACAUCAAUCUAUCUUAAAUAAUGAUUGUACAAGGAUUUUUAAAAGGGGUUUAAAAACGUUAAUAAUGAUUUUACAAGAUUUUUUAAAAGGAUUAUUACCUGAGUAGUAGAUGCAGAAUGAGAAGCAAAAGGAUUUGAAGUCGUCUCAGCCUGUAAUAAACUCAAUCACUGACUUAAUAAUGAUUUUACAAGGAUUUUUAAAAGGGGUUUAAAAACGUUAAUAAUGAUUUUACAAGGAUUUUUAAAAGGGGUUUAAAAACGUUAAUAAUGAUUUUACAAGGAUUUUUAAAACGAUUAGUACCUGAGCAUUAGGGACAGAAUGAGAAACAAAAGGAUUUGAAGUAGUCUCAGCCUAUAAUAAGCACAAUCACUGACUUAAUAAUGAUUUUACAAGGAUUUUUAAAAUUAUAACACAAGAAGGUUAUUAAAAAACCUGCUCAACUGUCACAGAAAUUUGCUCUACAGUCAAACAUAACUGAAGCAAUCCUCCACUCUGUGAGAAUUUGUGCAUAAAAGUUGCAAGCUGUCUAUCGUUCCUAGUAUAA